rnacentral:rRNA from 1 species
UACGGAGGGUGCAAGCGUUUGUCCGGAAUCACUGGGCGUAAAGGGCGCGUAGGCGGCUCAUGAAGGCUGUGGUGAAAGUCCGGGGCUCAACCUCGGAUCGGCCGUGGCGACUCGUGGGCUGGAGCACUGUAGAGGCGGGUGGAAUUCCGGGUGUAGCGGUGAAAUGCGUAGAUAUCAGGAGGAACACCGGUGGCGAAGGCGGUGAGCUGGGCAGUUGCUGACACUGAGGCGCGACAGCGUGGGGAGCAAACAGG